rnacentral:rRNA from 1 species
AUUGAACGCUGGCGGAAUGCUUUACACAUGCAAGUCGAACGGCAGCACGGACUUCGGUCUGGUGGCGAGUGGCGAACGGGUGAGUAAUGUAUCGGAACGUGCCCAGUCGUGGGGGAUAACGUAGUGAAAAUUACGCUAAUACCGCAUACGAUCUAUGGAUGAAAGCGGGGGAUCGCAAGACCUCGCGCGAUUGGAGCGGCCGAUAUCAGAUUAGGUAGUUGGUGGGGUAAAGGCCCACCAAGCCAACGAUCUGUAGCUGGUCUGAGAGGACGACCAGCCACACUGGAACUGAGACACGGUCCAGACUCCUACGGGAGUCAGCAGUGGGGAAUUUUGGACAGUGGGCGAAAGCCUGAUCCAGCCAUUCCGCGUGCAGGAUGAAGGCCCUCGGGUUGUAAACUGCUUUUGUACAGAACGAAAAGGUUUCUACUAAUACUAGGAGCUCAUGACGGUACUGUAAGAAUAAGCACCGGCUAACUACAUGCCAGCCGCCGCGGUAA